UGGGGAAUAUUGGACAAUGGGCGCAAGCCUGAUCCAGCCAUGCCGCGUGAGUGACGAAGGUCUUCGGAUUGUAAAGCUCUUUUUGGCGGGGACGAUAAUGACGGUACCCGCAGAAUAAGCCCCAGCUAACUUCGUGCCAGCAGCCGCGGUAAUACGAAGGGGGCUAGCGUUGUUCGGAAUCACUGGGCGUAAAGCGCACGUAGGCGGAUGUGCCAGUCAGGGGUGAAAUCCCGGAGCUCAACUUCGGAACUGCCUCUGAUACAGCACGUCUUGAGUCCGAUAGAGGUGGGUGGAAUUCCUAGUGUAGAGGUGAAAUUCGUAGAUAUUAGGAAGAACACCGGUGGCGAAGGCGGCCCACUGGAUCGGUACUGACGCUGAGGUGCGAAAGCGUGGGGAGCAAACAGGAUUAGAUACCCCUGUAGUCCCUGAGCGGGCUGGCAAGGCGCAU
rnacentral:rRNA from 1 species